UGCCUCAACUACAGUUUUACCAUAGUUUUACGGAUAAGGUCGAUGGAAACUUCGAGAGAGAGAGAGAGAGUGAUCGGCAGAGAGAGACAACAACUCAGACAGAAACUCUGAGAGCGACAGUGAUCGAGAGAGAGAGAGAGAGAGAGCAAUUCUGAGAGCGAAAAAUAAUAGAGAUUUGGAUUUGUUUUGGAAGAGGUCUGAUUUCAGUUGAUCGAGAGGGAGAGACAGAAACACUGAGAGAGAAGUAGAGAUCCAUAGCAAGAUUUGGAUCAAAUUUGGAUCCAUAUUAAUCCAAGAUUGUGGUGUUUUGAUAGAAAGAGAAGUAAGAGUGUUUGGUUUCAAUUAUCUUCAAUCUGUUGUGUUGGUGGGUUUCGGGAGAGUGAGGAUUGCAGGUAUGGAACUUUUCUUUUGUUAUGGUUGUUGUUAGUUGUCGUUUCCGUUGAUUGGGUGUUUUCGGUGUUGUUGGUUUUGGAUUAAGGUAAGUUUUUAUGUCUUGGGGGUCUUCUUCGUCUUUGGAUUUGGAAUCUGGGUAAUCGAUUGAGAGGGUUUCAGGUUGUAGUUUUAUUGUUACAUGGUGGUUCACUUGAUUUCAUGGAUUUGUUUUGUGAGUUUUGGUUGGUAUUAAUUUUUGAUCAAAUUCUGCAGCAAUUUGUAGUUUAUGUAAAGGGAUGAGUUUAGGCGGUCUACUUAGGCGGCUAAUUAAUUACAUAUUAAUGUAUAUAGAGCUCGAUCAAUUAAGGGAAAUGAGAGAUCUGGGUAGGGAAGACUAGAGAGAUUGUAGCAGGUUAUGCCGGGUGCAACGUAUGUAUCUGAGAUUUUCUGUUUCUUGGUUUCUGCAUUUUGGAUUAUAUGCAAAAAACUUUUGGCAACAUUUUUCUGCGGCUGUCCCUUUGUCUGCUGCUCAAUAUUAUCUUGGCUUUGAAUUGUUAUUCAGGUAUGAAGUAUAAAGUACUGUUGGAAUAUUUCUGUAUUCCCUUUAUAAUAUGUACAGCUAAUGUAAUAUCAAUUUUUUUAACUGUUGUCAUUUUAUUUUGCAGAUUUGGGUAAUUUUUUUUUGUCAUGCAUUAUCUGAUUUAAAGAGAUUGUUAGACUGCUGGAUUUUGCUUUGUAAAGAGGUUGUGUAUUACUGAUUUAACAAUCACUCUAGAAGAUAGGUGGUAAUUAUAGAAAUCAAUAUUGAUAUUUGCUUUAUCUAUAUAUUCUGCCGUGUGUUUGUACUCAUGAUAAUGAACUGCAAAUAUAGUUGAACACUGUUAUAUGGUAGAAUGAAUCGUAGAGUUUGUCAAUUAUUGUGAAUUAAUGAAGAAAAGCGAUUGUUCUAUGAGCUGUAUUGUUUUAAGAAAGGUCAUGUCGAUUCAUAAUACUUGAGACAGAUGACAGCCACCAAGGGAGAAAAAGUUAACAACGAAAAUAAAACCAGGGAUAAUGAAGAGAUUAAUGGUAUUUAAAUAGUGAGGUCUAAAUGUUUUUGGCUUUUUAAAGGUGUGUGAUUUUAGAGACAGCAAAGAUUUACAAUGUAAAGAAUGUGAGGGAGUCUGUUGGUAUUUUUUGUUUCUGUUGGUAAACAAACAGCAAAUUUAGUACUGUGGUUAACUAUUUACAGAGAAUAGUAUAUAGUAUAUGACAACAUCUUCAUUGCUCAAGAGGUUCUACGCAGAUACAGAAGAUCAAAAGGAAAGAUGGGCUACAUUGCUUGGAAAGUAAUUUUGUUUUCAACAUUUUCUAGAGAUCUGUCUCUCAAUUUGUAUUAGAUCUUUUGUAAUGUCAAGAAAGUGUUGUGCAGGGUUUGCUAAUUGAAUUGUAUAAGAUUAAGGAUUCCGCCAAUGGGUUACUUAAUAAUAUUUUCUUCAUCUUCUAAAAGUAUUCAUUUCAAA